rnacentral:miRNA from 1 species
GGGAGGGAGGGAGAGAGAGAGAGAGAUAUGAUAUGAGAUAGAGAUAAUAUUUUAUCUCUCUCUCUCUCUCUCUCUCUCUCUAUAUAUAUAU